AUUGAACGCUGGCGGCAUGCCUUACACAUGCAAGUCGAACGGCAGCACGGGGCAACCUGGUGGCGAGCGGCGAACGGGUGAGUAAUGCAUCGGAACGUACCUUUCAGUGGGGGAUAACGUAGCGAAAGUUACGCUAAUACCGCAUAUUCUGUGAGCAUGAAGGCAGGGGAUCGCAAGACCUUGCGCUGAUUGAGCGGCCGAUGUCAGAUUAGCUAGUUGGUGAGGUAAAGGCUCACCAAGGCGACGAUCUGUAGCGGGUCUGAGAGGAUGAUCCGCCACACUGGAACUGAGACACGGUCCAGACUCCUACGGGAGGCAGCAGUGAGGAAUUUUGGACAAUGGGGGCAACCCUGAUCCAGCCAUGCCGCGUGAGUGAAGAAGGCCUUCGGGUUGUAAAGCUCUUUCGGCCGGGAAGAAAUCGCACGGGCUAAUACCCUGUGUGGAUGACGGUACCGGAAUAAGAAGCACCGGCUAACUACGUGCCAGCCGCCGCGGUAAUAC
rnacentral:rRNA from 1 species